rnacentral:rRNA from 1 species
UACGGAGGGUCCAAGCGUUGUCCGGAAUCACUGGGUGUAAAGGGUGCGUAGGCGGAUUUGUAAGUCAGAGGUGAAAGCCCACGGCUUAACCGUGGAACUGCCUUUGAUACUGCAAGUCUUGAGUCCUGGAGGGGCUGGCGGAAUUCGUGGUGUAGCGGUGAAAUGCGUAGAUAUCACGAGGAACACCGGAGGUGUAGACGGCCAGCUGGACAGGUACUGACGCUGAGGCACGAAAGCGUGGGGAGCGAACAGG